UUAAAAAAGAAGUAUAAAACACACAAUUAGGGUUUUUUUCCUCACUUUUCCCUCUCUCAAAUCACACGCCCUUCCCUCUGAAGCUCUCACGCCGUUUCUCUCUCCCUCUCAACCUCUCAUCUCCUAUCUCUCUCUUCCCUCUCUUCACUUUCUCAUUCUUCUCGCACCUAACACCAACACAAACGCUGAGGCUUCCUUCCCCAACUCCCUCACUCAAUUCCCCAACACCAACCCUAAUAUCUCCUUUGUCGUCGCCAAUGACCAACCAAAAAUACGAAGAGAAUCGGAGACACAAAGACGAGAAGAAGACUCCGUCGCAACCAUGUAAAUAAUUCGUCGAAGACUCCGUCGCAACCACCUUAAUCCUCGAAUUUUUUUGAUCUGCUCGCGUCUUGAUCUGCUCUGGUCUUGAUCGUCGUCGCUCCAUUGUCAGCCGACUCGCAUCACCGCCAUCGUUGCCGUCGCUUCAUCACCUGGACUCCAAGUCCAAACUUCUUCGCUCCUCCUCCAGUCCGCCGACUCUUUUUUAUUCAUUUCUCAUAUGUUUUUAAAUUCAGCAAACAUAUGAUUUUUUUAAUUCAAUUCUUUAGCAAUCUGGAAAAAUAAUCAUAUAAAAUCUGAUCAGAAUUUACUAUUCGCGUUCUUUCCUCUUACCCCAUUUUCUCUCUUUUCAUCUUCAAUCUGGGUUUUUAAUUUAAUUUGGGGGAGUGAAAGUUUAGGAUAAUUUACCAGAUCUCGUUUUGUUUCGUUUAAAGGUUUAAUUGUUGUAGAACUGAAAAGGUUUUGAUUUUUGGGUUUUGAUCGUUGAAUUUGAAGUAGACAGAAGUUUAAGCUGAAUAAAGUCUAAAUAUUUGGAGGAGAAUUAGUGUUGUAGUCAUUGUUUCAGAUUUGUUUGUUCAGUGUAAUUAUCAUUUUCGUUUGUUCAGUGUAGUGUAAAUCUCGUUUAUUGUAAUUCUUCUGUAUCGCAAAUUUUUUUCAUUAGUUUCAUUUUUUUUGGUAUUGUUGUUUUUUACUUUAAUUUGUUCAGUUUUUUCUUGUUGUUUUUUCUUUGUUAGUUUCAUUUCGUUUUCUGAUUUUUUUUGCAAUUUUUCUGAAUUUUUUUUAUGUUUCGAAUUAAAUGGCAAAAUGCUAAAAAAAAAAAUCUUGUUUACACCUGUACCUAUUGCUGCGGUUUUUCCAAGAAACCGCAGCAAUAUCCCUUUUAUAAAUCUGAUAUAAAAUAAAUAUAUUGCUGCGAUUUUACCCCAAAACCGCCGCAAUAUGUUCAAAUAUUGCUGCGAUUUAAAAUUGCAGCAAUAUAUUAAUUACCUAUUGCUGCCUCCUUAAUUGCUGCGUGGCUAAAAACGCCGCAAUAAGCCACUUAAUGACCGCAACAAUAAGCAUUUAUUCUACUUGUGUAGUAAUCGAAAAUAACCAAGAUCCAAACAGUUCAUGUCUAGGCUGUUAGGAGGCUAUUGUAUCAACUUAAAAUCGAAUCCAUCUAGUAGUCUAUGCUGUUGAAAAACUGGAUCGUCAUUUGUUAUGUGUGAUGGUGCAUUAUCUUACUGAAUGUAAAUGACCUUACUUAAGUCAUCUGACCAUUUCUCCCCGAUAGCAGGCAUAAUCUUGUUAACCAACAUGUCCCUUAUAAUAUCCUUUGUAAUUGCUUCGAUGGGUUUGGUUUCUAAAGUGCCCGUAGGCCUGUUUUCUGAUCUUCUCUAUGCUGGAACUUGUUUGAUGAAAGCCCAUAUGCCAAUCUUGCCACUAAAUGCACAAGAACCAUCUUGGUUCCACCUUCGUCUUGCAACAACAGCUAUAAACAUAGCUUUAGGUAUGAAAUUCUUAUUUUUUUUUAUCUUCCUCCAUGGUGUUUUUUCCCUUGGAUGGAGAUAUGCUCUUACCCUUUUCUGAGUCAUGUAGAACCAUUUUUCAUCUAUAUGGACAAUAUUUCUCAAGUCUAUGUAUGUUGGAUUCGUUUAAAGUGUGUUUUUUUUGUAUUAAACUUAGUACCCACAUACAUCUUCUCAAUUGUUUUUUCAUGUUCAAAUCAGGCUUUAAUGGGUUUGUAUGUGGCCUUAAUCCCCCCCCCCCCCCACCCUUUUAACUAUCCUUCCUAGUGUUGUGAAAUGCAAGUUAAGUGAAGUUGCUAAUGACCUCAAACUUGUUCUUUGAUAUAAAGGUACAGAUGAAACCUGUUGAAGAGUGAUUGUGGCUCUCUUCCUUCCACACUUGUGCUUGUUGGUUUUGACGUUUAUGAGUUGCCUGUUAUCAUGUUGCUGCUUGGCCUUCUUCCAUAUGGUGUAGACUGUCAUUGUGCUGAUGUUGAACUUCUCAGCACAUAGCUUCUUGGCUCCCCAUGGUAGAUUUCCCACCACUGUGUGACUUAGAAGCCACUCUGCUACUUUUUGUCAUACCUCAUUGCUGAGCCUAGGCCCAUGAUGUGGCUGAGAUACAAAUGCUACAGGGACAGAUGCUUCAUCUUCAUUGUUAGACCCUUCAUGCCCUGAGGCCAUUGAUGGCAAUGAUGCCCAAUAUUUAACUCUUUUUUUCUCCUCUUUUAAGUCACUUAAUGGUGUGGAGUGUGGACAUUGUGGAGUUCUUAUGGGGUUUUAUAUACUUGAUUCAAAAUUUGUAACUUGGUUGCAUUUUUAUUAGGAGGGAAUUUGAAUCGAAAACACACGUAUGAAAUUAAAGAAGGAAAUGAAAAUGUAGCUUUCCCUGCUUAUUUUUGGUUGGCUGGUGUAAUUAAUGUAAUUCUACUUUUCAUCUUUGUUUAUUAAAAUAAAAUCAGGUGUCACUUUCAUGCCUUA